GAUUUCUGGUAUAGUACGCUUGGCCCGCCACGGUAUCGUGUGUGAGUGCCGAUGCGCGCUUACCAUCUUCCUGGAGAACGUUCCUGCCCUUUACUGGGUUGGGUUCGCAAUCCAGGACCUUUACUUUGAAAAAAUUAGAGUGUUUAAAGCAGGCUGAAAGUUAUGAAUACAUUAGCAUGGAAUAAUAAGUUAGGACUCGUAUCUCGAAUUUUGUUGGUUUUUGGGGAAAUGAGUAAUGAUUGAUAGGGAUAGUUGGGGGUGCUAGUAUUCAGCGGCCAGAGGUGAAAUUCUUGGAUUCGCUGAAGACUAACUUAUGCGAAAGCAUU
rnacentral:rRNA from 1 species